rnacentral:SRP_RNA from 23 species
GACUCGGGCCCAUGCGGCUUCGACGCCUAAAUCUGGUCAGGACCGGAAGGUAGCAGCCACAAGGGAUGCUUGAAUCUGGCGUGGAUUCCGGGUCACCU